UACGGAGGUGGCAAGCGUUGCUCGGAAUCACUGGGCGUAAAGGGCGCGUAGGCGGGGAGGUAAGUCGGGUGUGAAAUCCCUCGGCCCAACCGAGGAACUGCGCCCGAGACUGCUUCUCUUGAGUCCCGGAGAGGAAGAUGGAAUUCCCGGUGUAGCGGUGAAAUGCGUAGAGAUCGGGAGGAACACCGGUGGCGAAGGCGGUCUUCUGGACGGUGACUGACGCUGAGGCGCGAAAGCGUGGGGAGCAAACGGG
rnacentral:rRNA from 1 species